CGGUUAAGUUAGAAAGGGCGCACGGUGGAUGCCUUGGCACUAGGAGCCGAUGAAGGACGGGACGAACACCGAUAUGCUUCGGGGAGCUGUAAGCAAGCUUUGAUCCGGAGAUUUCCGAAUGGGGAAACCCACCACUCGUAAUGGAGUGGUAUCCAUAUCUGAAUACAUAGGAUAUGAGAAGGCAGACCCGGGGAACUGAAACAUCUAAGUACCCGGAGGAAGAGAAAGCAAAUGCGAUUCCCUGAGUAGCGGCGAGCGAAACGGGACCAGCCCAAACCAAGAGGCUUGCCUCUUGGGGUUGUAGGACACUCUGUACGGAGUUACAAAGGAACGAGGUAGAUGAAGAGGUCUGGAAAGGCCCGCCAUAGGAGGUAACAGCCCUGUAGUCAAAACUUCGUUCUCUCCUGAGUGGAUCCUGAGUACGGCGGAACACGUGAAAUUCCGUCGGAAUCCGGGAGGACCAUCUCCCAAGGCUAAAUACUCCCUAGUGACCGAUAGUGAACCAGUACCGUGAGGGAAAGGUGAAAAGCACCCCGGAAGGGGAGUGAAAGAGAUCCUGAAACCGUGUGCCUACAAGUAGUCAGAGCCCGUUAACGGGUGAUGGCGUGCCUUUUGUAGAAUGAACCGGCGAGUUACGAUCCCGUGCAAGGUUAAGCAGAAGAUGCGGAGCCGCAGCGAAAGCGAGUCUGAAUAGGGCGAAUUGAGUACGUGGUCGUAGACCCGAAACCAGGUGAUCUACCCAUGUCCAGGGUGAAGUUCAGGUAACACUGAAUGGAGGCCCGAACCCACGCACGUUGAAAAGUGCGGGGAUGAGGUGUGGGUAGGGGUGAAAUGCCAAUCGAACCUGGAGAUAGCUGGUUCUCUCCGAAAUAGCUUUAGGGCUAGCCUCAAGGUAAGAGUCUCGGAGGUAGAGCACUGAUUGGACUAGGGGCCCCUACCGGGUUACCGAAUUCAGUCAAACUCCGAAUGCCGAUGACUUAUCCUUGGGAGUCAGACUGCGAGUGAUAAGAUCCGUAGUCGAAAGGGAAACAGCCCAGACCGCCAGCUAAGGUCCCAAAGUAUACGUUAAGUGGAAAAGGAUGUGGAGUUGCUUAGACAACCAGGAUGUUGGCUUAGAAGCAGCCACCAUUUAAAGAGUGCGUAAUAGCUCACUGGUCGAGUGACUCUGCGCCGAAAAUGUACCGGGGCUAAACGUAUCACCGAAGCUGCGGACUGUUCUUCGAACAGUGGUAGGAGAGCGUUCUAAGGGCUGUGAAGCAAGACCGGAAGGACUUGUGGAGCGCUUAGAAGUGAGAAUGCCGGUAUGAGUAGCGAAAGAGGGGUGAGAAUCCCCUCCACCGAAUGCCUAAGGUUUCCUGAGGAAGGCUCGUCCGCUCAGGGUUAGUCGGGACCUAAGCCGAGGCCGAAAGGCGUAGGCGAUGGACAACAGGUUGAUAUUCCUGUACCACCUCCUCACCAUUUGAGCAAUGGGGGGACGCAGGAGGAUAGGGUAAGCGCGGUAUUGGAUAUCCGCGUCCAAGCAGUUAGGCUGGGAAAUAGGCAAAUCCGUUUCCCGUGAAGGCUGAGCUGUGAUGGCGAGCGAAUUAUAGUAGCGAAGUUCCUGAUUCCACACUGCCAAGAAAAGCCUCUAGCGAGGUGAGAGGUGCCCGUACCGCAAACCGACACAGGUAGGCGAGGAGAGAAUCCUAAGGUGAUCGAGAGAACUCUCGUUAAGGAACUCGGCAAAAUGACCCCGUAACUUCGGGAGAAGGGGUGCUCUGUUAGGGUGCAAGCCCGAGAGAGCCGCAGUGAAUAGGCCCAGGCGACUGUUUAGCAAAAACACAGGUCUCUGCGAAGCCGUAAGGCGAAGUAUAGGGGCUGACGCCUGCCCGGUGCUGGAAGGUUAAGAGGAGCGCUUAGCGUAAGCGAAGGUGCGAAUUGAAGCCCCAGUAAACGGCGGCCGUAACUAUAACGGUCCUAAGGUAGCGAAAUUCCUUGUCGGGUAAGUUCCGACCCGCACGAAAGGCGCAACGAUCUGGGCACUGUCUCAACGAGAGACUCGGUGAAAUUAUAGUACCUGUGAAGAUGCAGGUUACUCGCGACAGGACGGAAAGACCCCGUGGAGCUUUACUGCAGCCUGAUAUUGAAUGUUGGUACAGCUUGUACAGGAUAGGUAGGAGCCUUGGAAACCGGAGCGCCAGCUUCGGUGGAGGCAUCGGUGGGAUACUACCCUGGCUGUAUUGACCUUCUAACCCGCCGCCCUUAUCGGGCGGGGAGACAGUGUCAGGUGGGCAGUUUGACUGGGGCGGUCGCCUCCUAAAAGGUAACGGAGGCGCCCAAAGGUUCCCUCAGAAUGGUUGGAAAUCAUUCGCAGAGUGUAAAGGCACAAGGGAGCUUGACUGCGAGACCUACAAGUCGAGCAGGGACGAAAGUCGGGCUUAGUGAUCCGGUGGUUCCGCAUGGAAGGGCCAUCGCUCAACGGAUAAAAGCUACCCCGGGGAUAACAGGCUUAUCUCCCCCAAGAGUCCACAUCGACGGGGAAGGUUUGGCACCUCGAUUGUCGGCUCAUCGCAUCCUGGGGCUGUAGUCGGUCCCAAGGGUUGGGCUGUUCGCCCAUUAAAGCGGUACGCGAGCUGGGUUCAGAACGUCGUGAGACAGUUCGGUCCCUAUCCGUCGCGGGCGCAGGAAAUUUGAGAGGAGCUGUCCUUAGUACGAGAGGACCGGGAUGGACGCACCGCUGGUGUACCAGUUGUUCUGCCAAGGGCAUCGCUGGGUAGCUAUGUGCGGACGGGAUAAGUGCUGAAAGCAUCUAAGCAUGAAGCCCCCCUCAAGAUGAGAUUUCCCAUUCCGCAAGGAAGUAAGAUCCCUGAAAGAUGAUCAGGUUGAUAGGUCUGAGGUGGAAGUGUGGCGACACAUGGAGCUGACAGAUACUAAUCGAUCGAGGACUUAACCAAUUU
rnacentral:rRNA from 3 species